UGACAAACACUGCAACUGGCGCACAGGCAACUGUCAGGAUUGUAGACCAAUGUGCAAAUGGAGGGCUUGAUUUAGACCAUGGUGUCUUCUCUAAACUAGACACUAAUGGGAAAGGCUAUGCUCAAGGCCAUCUGAUCGUCAACUAUCAGUUUGUAAACUGUUAAUAAAAUAACCAAUGUUGUAUUACCACCUUAUGCAGCCAUCCAGAGAAGUACUAAGUAAGGAUGGCAUCUUGUCUUAUCAAUAAACGCAUCGAUGCAUGCGAAGAAAUAAAUAUGGUGUGACUUAAAAAUCCAAAAACCAAGAUUUUGUGUGCAUUAGAGGUGCUUAGAUCAUGAUUUACUAUUCUUCAAAACAACCAUCAUAUACUGCGGGUUGUAUAUUGUUUGAAGGCUAUAUUGAUGAGUAGGCAAAUAAACCAACCAAAUUGCAAAACCUACUUGAAUUGAUAAUUUUGGUUCGGUUUGUCAGUUUUUUUCAUAUUUGAUAUAUUUUUGGUUUGAAAAUCUUCCGAACAAGAAGAAAUUGGAUUGGUUUCAUUUUAAGUUUUAAAAAGAAAGCAACUUAAACUGAACAUACCUGCAUAUAUAAACUAACCAGUUCAUUUGGUUCAGUGCCUUCAGGCUUCAAUGGUUCAAUUCAAUAUCCCUCACUGCAGAAAAACUCAUCUUUUCCAACGCUUUUUAUAACCUUUACCGACGCUUAUAAGCGUCGGCUAAAGUUCCGGCGAUGCUAAUAAAAGUGUCGCAAAAGGAUCGGCGAUACCGGAGUGGUAAAAUUUUUUUCCGACACUACAUGAAAGCGUCAGCAAAAACAGAAAUUUGCCGACGCUUUAUCAAACGGAUACCAACCUCAUGCUUUUCGCCGACGCUUAAAAGCGUCAGCAAAUCCCGGGCUCUAAUACCAACAAAUCUGUCAUGCUCCGAACCCAGAGCAUAACAUACGCCGCAUACCUAUAUGGCGGACCAAACAAACAUGCAAGGCUACAAAUCAUAUUAAAACAAUAAUAAAUUUUGAAAUUUAUUUAAUCAAUAAAUUAUUCAAUCUUACAAUAGUUCCAAUAUAACAAAUGUCAACAUGUGCUAACUAAUAACAUAAAUCAAAUAUUCUAACUAGUCUAACUAAAAUACUAAUAACUGAAGGUAUCUUCAGAAAAUCUAACGCACUCCUCAAGUCUUGAGCAAUCGUGUGUCUAUGCAUCUAAAUCACUCAUGGUACGAUAUCCAAAUACUACUAUUCUAAUCACCGGUGGUGUGGUGUCGAAACUAAUUUCUCAUAGAUUACAAGUCGACAAGGCUAAUAAAUAAUUCUCAUUGGUGGGGCCAGAUCAUAGCCAUAUUGAGAAUACAUAUAUUCAAAACAGAUUUUUUAUAAUUUGCCCAAUCACAUUUUUCAUAAUUUUAUAAUAUAUAACAUAACUUUAAAAUGAUUACUAUCAUAAUACUAACAUAACUUUAAUCAGCUAAUAAUUAUUUUACCAAUUAAUUUAAAAAAUAUACUUUGAAGCAUUAGUUACUUACCUCUUCUCACUUCAAAUCCUACUUCAAACAAAUAGGUCAGGUGCACCUAUUUGAUAUCAUUAAAAUAUUAUUAAUUUUAACAUCAUUCUAGAAGUCAAAUGAAGUCAAAAUUAAACAUUACUGGAGAACAGUCUCAUGCCCCCAAAUUAGGUUAGUCGGAUGAUAGUGCCCGACUGCCGAGGUCGAUCUGAGCAAGGACGGUUCAAAAGAUCUGAAGCUGAGGUAAUGGGCCAGUCUACUGUCCGGAUACCGGAGCGAUUCAAGGCCUCCACCCAAGGGUCAACUUGGAUCUAAGCAAAAAGAAAGUCGGGGCUUUGAACUAAGAUCCCUCAGUCUCGCUUAGAGAGAGAAAGAGGCUUAAAGAGAAGUCCCGGUCUAAGUCUUGGUUCAAUCCUGAUCACGGGCCCGGUUUGAGUAGUUUGGUUCGACCAUUAGGAAAAAUCUAAGCCUACUUAAUUAAAGAAGAGCUAGGGAUUAGUUUUUUUCUUUUUUUUUGGCCUUCUUGGCCCAAAAUAGGGAUGAACAAGGCCCAAAUGCUUCAUCCCACUGAAUUAAGAAACAAGGAGGAAGUGGAUAAAAAGAGGGAAGAGGGAAAGUCCGGCGGCCGUGCCUAGGUGGUCGAUGACCAGUUGUCAACAGCAGUGGUGGCCACUGCAACGGUCGACGAGAAGGAGGAGCUAAGGUCAUCCUUGGUUUGGUCCAAAAUAGAGGAUAGGAGGUUGGCUUCGAUUAAAAGAACAAGAAAAAGUGGGAGCUUACCGGGGCAUCUGAUGGUCCUCGUGGCGGCGGCGGCAGAGAUGAAGGAUCUCGGUCGCUGAUUGCUCAACCGGUGGUAACUUCUGGUGGAAGGAGAGCGGCGGUGCUUGGUCUAGAGAAUAGAGCGACGGAAACACAAGAGAUCGAGAUAGAUUUUCAAGGGUGACAGAGUUCGAAGGUGGUGGCUGUCAGUCGCCAAAAGCAAGAAAGGAGAAGUGGAAGCUUGGUGGUGGAUCAAUAGUAGAGGGAGAGAAGAUUUAUAGGAGGGUUUUCGAAGGAGGUCGUGGCUCCGUCACUGAUGUAAUUUUCGCGGCCGUUGAGCGCGAUCGACGACCGUACAAAUUGCUAUGGAGUUAUCGUGGAGCUGCUGCAGAAUCGCCUCUGUCACGCCGAGGAAGAAAGAGCAGAGGAUCACAAUCGCAAUUCUCUGUUCGGGUUCUGCUUUCAAAAUUGGACUGAAGUUGGCAGGUUCACUCCGAUAUGGCCCAUUUCGGGCCUGAUCUCAUAGUUGUCGAGUUUUGAACUUUAUGAUUAGAGAAGAACUGCGAGUAUUUUGUUUGCUAAGGGAUACAAAAGAUCAACUCAAGCAAUAGAUCUUACUUGACAAGCUGAGAGGUUUCCAUAAAUAAUCAAAAAGAGGAUGAUUGCCCACUUUUACAUUAAGAAAAAUAAAAAAAAUAGAAAAACUAUAAUGGCAGCACCUUGUUAAUAAAAUCUAGUGUGACCUUGAAGGGGAGAGUGGUAGGUGGGUUGGAGGGCGCGCAAGGCUGGCUUAAUUCCUUUUCAUUUUUUCCUGUUUUCCCCUUAUUUCUUCGUUCUCUCUUCUCUUUUCUUUGGCCCUUUUGGACCUUGUAUCAUUUUAUGCUUCUUGGCAGAAUGAUGUUUAUUCUAUAUCCGAUAUUUUGCAUUUCAUUGCCAUCUUUUUAUAACUUUUCUAUUUUUUCCCAAUUUCCCCUUCUUUUUUCCUUCUCUCUGCACUUUUCUUUGGCCCUUUUGGACCUUGUGUCAUUUCUGAUGGAAUGAUGUUUGUUCUAUGAGCUCUUUUUUUUUUUUUGGGAGGGGGGGGGGGGGGGUAAACAUUUUAUGACCGUUUUUCGAAAAACAAAGAAAGAAAGAUAACUGAGUUGGUUUGAACUUUUGCAUCCAGAAAUUAGAUUAGGAAGUUAUACCAAGGCUAACCAGAAGUGAAAUGGGAAACAUGAUUGGUUCUUCUAAUAAAAAUGAAAGCCGAUAUUGUUGACCGGUAAGUGUGCGCCUUAACAAAGUACUGUUCAAAUUCCACCCUCCAGAGAAAAUCUAUCCCUUCUUCUGUCUUUAUCGCCAAAAAACCAGCAAUCCAACAUAGGCGGCGGGUCGUUCCCGCACUUUCAGUCUUGUCACCCGAGAGAUACGUCACAGGUGUCUGGUCUUCAAAGCACCCAGCCAAGUGCCGUGACCUUAUCUCUUUUCCUUGUCCCUCUCUCAACCUUAUCUAUAGUCUCCACUAUAGAGAUGUGGUCAAAAGUUUCGUCGAAGACUCCAAGAAACUUUAGACUCCUGUGCAUGGUCCUCUAAGUCUAGAAAUUUGACGCGCUUGUGCUCUAUUUCUUGUUUGGUACACUUUCUUGGUACGUAGUUUGAUACACUUUCGCUAGACAAAAAUGCGUAUUCACAGGACAAUGCAUUAUCAAUCUUAGUAUCUCAAAACAGUCCCCUAACUCUGAAGUAUGAACCUCUUCACUUUAGCAAGUCUCACUCUGAAGUUCUCAUCAAAACUAAGGGGCAUUUUUGUAGUUAGAGAGCCUCACAACAUCCAUAAAUAUAGUCGACAGACAAGCUUCUUGUUCUCUCCAUCCAAAAGCCAAGCCAAGAUGAUGAUGAUGAUGAGGGUGAGCCUCUCUGUGACAUUGCUGCUGUGCAUCGCCGCUGCGGUGAGCGCCCAGUCGGCGUCCAACAUGCGUGCAACAUACCAUGAAUACAACCCGGCGCAGCACAACUGGGACCUGAAUGCAGUCAGUGCCUACUGCUCGACGUGGGAUGCCAAUAAGCCGCUUGCAUGGCGGCAGAAGUAUGGGUGGACGGCCUUCUGCGGGCCGGUCGGCCCGAGAGGCCAAGCUGCCUGUGGCAAGUGUUUGCGGGUAAGUUUGGAGAAUUUGAAGCUCUAGCUAUGCUUCCAUUACCUCAAGUUCUUUUUAUUUGUUCAGAUUAUGUUUUUCCUUGUGGCUAGAAAGCUCCCUAGGAUUUAUAUCCAGCUUGAGCUGGGCUUAUGUUAGCAAAGUCUUAUCUAAUCAGGUUUGGUCAUGUUCAGGAUGGGGCUUCAUAAACAGAAGAAAACUAAUUACUACAUAUUGAAAGGUUAGAAAAGCCCCAUCUCAUUGACCUAAUCUGGUCUGAUUUGAGCUGAGUUCUUGCAUGCAGCUCGGGUAUGGAGAUGGUUCGUGUUUGAACGAGACUUGACUGUGACUUUAGACUAUCAUUUUAUUCAGCCAGCAAUGAGUGGGUUAAAAGGAAAGAAUGGUAACAGGACACGGAUGUGAACUCUUGUUGGCCUAGUAAUGAUUAAAACUAUAUACAUCUAUGUGUGUAGGGGUUAAUCUCUAACUUUCUAUUGUGUGCGUAUAUAGGGACUUGUCUCCAUCUUUGUAUUUUGUAUCCAUCCCAUUUUUCACUAGAACCGAACACUGGCCCUAUACCCACAGCUCUCGUGUGGACCUAUGCUUCUUUGAGAGGAGAGGUAGCAUUAGGUUUCAAAUUCAUCAGCUGAUAUCUCUUGAAAAGUAAAAAAGGGGCCUUGAUUUUUUACUGCUAUAGCAUGCAUCUUGAUUAGGUUUUCUAUUGUUGAAAAAAGAAAGAGAGAGAAGUGCAUGAGAAAAGGUAGAAAGUUAGUUCCAGAAAUGAUUAGUUAAGAAAAUGAACAUCACCUGUUAACACUAGUCACUUUGGUCUAAAUGUCAAAUGUCAUGAUGCAAAAGACAGGAAUAUAUGCAGUUUAUGGAAUGCAUGUAAAGACUAAAUGCCAAAAUAGAGGAUAUGUGUAGACUAAAUUUAUGCUCGGGCAAGAGUGUGCAUCCUAUGGGAUGAAAUCUAGUUUUUUGGAUCAUUGUGCAUGCGUUUUGCUUCCCUCAAAUCACUUAUUUCGGUGAAAUAUUCAAGCCACCCUGUUGCUAAAUGAAAUCUGGCAGCAACAUAAUCGUUACAUGACUCAUUUGAACCUGGGUUUGUACGAUUCAAUUGAUACAAUUAAUAAAAUUCCUUUUUCUAAAAUAAAUAACCAUGUAGAAAAUGAGUCAUAUUGUUUUCUCCAUCUGAAGGUGACACGUACUAUAGCCCAAAUGCCUAAUUAUUUACCACAAAAUUUUAUGUAGUUCCCUCGACCUUACGUUUGGAUGAUGUCCAUCUAAGACGUGAUGAUGACAUAAAAGUUACAGAGGAUCCUGACUCAUUAUAUUAGAUAGGAAAAAUCCAAAGGAAACGUAAAAGAAAAUGAACCACCAACCUUAUAGGUAAAUGAGGAUAUGUUUGUUCUAAUAUUGUAGUUUUUUUAUGGUAUCAUGCAGGUGAAAAACACUGCAACUGGCGCACAGGCAACUGUCAGGAUUGUAGACCAAUGUGCAAAUGGAGGGCUUGAUUUAGACCAUGGUGUCUUCUCUAAACUAGACACUAAUGGGCAAGGCUAUGCUCAAGGCCAUCUGAUCGUCAACUAUCAGUUUGUAAACUGUUAAUAAAACAACUAAUGUUGUAUUACCACCUUAUGCAGCCAUCCAGAGAA
rnacentral:lncRNA from 1 species